GACGAACGCUGGCGGCGUGCUUAACACAUGCAAGUCGAGCGGAAAGGCCCUUCGGGGUACUCGAGCGGCGAACGGGUGAGUAACACGUGAGUAACCUGCCCCAGACUUUGGGAUAACCCUCGGAAACGGGGGCUAAUACCGGAUACGACACAGCUUCGCAUGGGGUCUGUGUGGAAAGUUUUUCGGUUUGGGAUGGGCUCGCGGCCUAUCAGCUUGUUGGUGGGGUGAUGGCCUACCAAGGCGACGACGGGUAGCUGGCCUGAGAGGGCGACCGGCCACACUGGGACUGAGACACGGCCCAGACUCCUACGGGAGGCAGCAGUGGGGAAUAUUGCACAAUGGGCGGAAGCCUGAUGCAGCGACGCCGCGUGAGGGAUGACGGCCUUCGGGUUGUAAACCUCUUUCAGCAGGGACGAAGCGUAAGUGACGGUACCUGCAGAAGAAGCGCCGGCCAACUACGUG
rnacentral:rRNA from 1 species